rnacentral:lncRNA from 1 species
CAAGUUACCAAGUAACUUACUGUUGUGAAACGAUUCAUACUGCAAGCCGCCUAAAUGCAGGGCUUUUGAUGAUAUUCCCCGCCAACAAGGCAUGAAGGUGGGGCUUGCCUCCAUCUGGCUCUCCUGCCACUUUCAACAACACACCCCACAUCCGAUCCUGCUUAGAGUCGAAGAUGAAUCUGGCAUAAUACAAACAGCACUGGACUGGAAGCAUGAAGUUUCUCUUAUCUGUGCCUUGGUUUCCUCAUGUGGAAAAUGAAAAUGUUGACAUAAAUAAUCACACAGGCAACAGCAAUCAUAAUGGGCUUGGAGCACCAGUCCCACAACAUCACAGGACAUCCAGACAUAAUUGCAUUAAUAAUGUUGUGCAUAAUCGCACAACUCUCUGGUUAUUCAGCAUCGUCCAAUAUGUGAAUAAAGCUCUG